AGUGCUAACAACUGCACCACUAUGCCACCCAACAGGGCUUCUCCUCUACCUCUGUUUCUCUGGGAGACAGUGUUUUGGAGGUCCAGUGUGGACCAGAGCCGUGGACCAGCCCUGAUGUCAAAUCAAGGAGAAUGUGUGUCUAUGAGGCAUCAAAAAGGACGUCAGCUCUAAGGUUGGGCAAAGAACAAUAAUAGAGUGGGGUGACACAACUUAAGGAAAAUAUACCGAUCUGCUUGCACAGCUUGGACGAUUAACCAGUGCCUGCAGCCGGUCCUUUCAAUUCCAGAACUAAAGGACCGACCAGCCAUGCAAAGCAGCAGCACUCAAAGUGAGGAGCUCUGACAAACCUGUUAAACCCAAUUAACAAAAGUAAAAUUGAACACCGUUA